rnacentral:rRNA from 1 species
CAAGCCUAAUACAUGCAAGUCGGACGGUAACAUAAGGUGCUUGCACCUUGAUGACGAGUGGCGCACGGGUGCGUAACGCGUAUAGAACCUACCCUGUACAGGGGGAUAGCCCAGAGAAAUUUGGAUUAAUACCCCGUGGUAACUAUAAAUGGCAUCAUUUAUAGUUUAAAGUUUUCGGAUGGUACAGGAUGGCUAUGCGUCCUAUUAGUUAGAUGGUGAGGUAACGGCUCACCAUGGCAUCGAUAGGUAGGGGCCCUGAGAGGGGGAUCCCCCACACUGGUACUGAGACACGGACCAGACUCCUACGGGAGGCAGCAGUGAGGAAUAUUGGACAAUGGGCGCAAGCCUGAUCCAGCCAUGCCGCGUGCACGAAGACGGCCCUAUGGGUUGUAAACUGCUUUUAUACGGGAAGAAAAACACACACGUGUACCCGGCUGACGGUACCGUAAGAAUAAGGACCGGCUAACUCCGUGCCAGCAGCCGCGGUAAUACGGAGGAUCCAAGCGUUAUCCGGAAUCAUUGGGUUUAAAGGGUCCGUAGGUGGACAAUUAAGUCAGAGGUGAAAGUCUGCAGCUCAACUGUAGAAUUGCCUUUGAUACUGGUUGUCUUGAAUCAUUGUGAAGUAGUUAGAAUAUGUAGUGUAGCGGUGAAAUGCAUAGAUAUUACAUAGAAUACCGAUUGCGAAGGCAGAUUACUAACAAUGUAUUGACACUGAUGGACGAAAGCGUGGGGAGCGAACAGGAUUAGAUACCCUGGUAGUCCACGCCGUAAACGAUGGUCACUAGCUGUUCGGACUUCGGUCUGAGUGGCUAAGCGAAAGUGAUAAGUGACCCACCUGGGGAGUACGUUCGCAAGAAUGAAACUCAAAGGAAUUGACGGGGGCCCGCACAAGCGGUGAAGCAUGUGGUUUAAUUCGAUGAUACGCGAGGAACCUUACCAGGGCUUAAAUGCAGAAUGAAAGAGCUAGAGAUACACAUUUCUUCGGACAAUCUACAAGGUGCUGCAUGGUUGUCGUCAGCUCGUGCCGUGAGGUGUCAGGUUAAGUCCUAUAACGAGCGCAACCCCUGCCGUCAGUUGCCAGCAAGUAAAGUCGGGAACUCUAACAAGACUGCCAGUGCAAACCGCGAGGAAGGUGGGGACGACGUCAAAUCAUCACGGCCCUUACGUCCUGGGCUACACACGUGCUACAAUGGCAGAGACAGAGAGCAGCCACUCCGC